rnacentral:lncRNA from 1 species
CACAUUUUAAUUAUCUUAUUUCCUGUCAGUCAUUUAGAAUAUUCCCUCUGAAGAUCCUUGUUUUAAACAAAUACGAUAGAGGGAGAGUCCUUGGCAUUAUGAGAUUUUGAGAUGAGCUAUAGCAGCGUAAACAAGUGCGUUUCUGGGAUCAUCAGACUCCAUUAUAAUGAGAUGCUUAUUUAUCAUUUCCUCCCCUAAACUGUAAGUUCCUUGACCACAAGGAAUACAGCCUUUAAAAAAAAUCUUGUCCUCCUUUGUUCUUAGCACAAUAACUGACACCUAAUGCACACUCAACAGAGGCAGAAGAACUGAGUGGUUUGAGUGUGCGCUCUGAAGUCAGAGAUUUGGUUUCAAGUGUUGACUCUGUAAACUUGGAUAUGGACCCUUGGGCAGAAGAUGACAUUUUCACCAGUAUUAUUAGGAAGGAUGGGAACAGGGCUCGCAUCUUUAAUUCACUGAGAUCUGUGUGUGGCUGAGAACACUGACGUGCCUGCGGGCAUAUGGCUUACAAUGUGGAGAUGGAUCUUAUUGCUGCUGGAAGCAUCCCUGAAGCCUAGAGAUAUCCCUCGCUCUCCUUUGGAUGUAGAGACAAGCAGAUCUGCGGAUGCAAGAUGAAACAGAUGGUGUCGCUUCCCUGCAGACUGUAGACUCAAGUGUGUGGAGAGUGAACACCGCAUCAAGCACGACCCUUGCUGUGCUUUCGAUUCUAUUGCAGUUAAUGUGGAUUCCAGCACAGUCAGCUCGAACCUGUGUGUCAUCAUUGUGUCUGUCUGGUUUCGUGGCUGACAAAGAGCUCAUGCUGUGCCAUUUACAGGUUGCCAAGAUUAAUAUUGCUGAGGAGAGAAGAGAGACAAAACUGACCUCAACUAGGGAGGGAGUGAGGGAUGAUAUGUGGAGAAGCUGGGUGAGCAUGUGCCCUGUGAAGGCAAAAAA